GACGGGGGAUGCAAGCGUUAUUCGGAAUCACUGGGCGUAAAGGGCGCGUAGGCGGACGGCACAGACAGGCGUGAAAUUCCUGGGCUCAACCUGGGGACUGCGUUUGAGACGUGUUGUCUUGAGUAUGGAAGAGGGUUGUGGAAUUUCCAGUGUAGAGGUGAAAUUCGUAGAUAUUGGAAAGAACACCGGUGGCGAAGGCGGCACCCUGGUCCAUUACUGACGCUGAGGCGCGAAAGCGUGGGGAGCAAACAGG
rnacentral:rRNA from 1 species